UACGAAGGGGGCUAGCGUUGCUCGGAAUUACUGGGCGUAAAGCGCACGUAGGCGGAUUGUUAAGUCGGGGGUGAAAUCCUGGAGCUCAACUCCAGAACUGCCUCCGAAACUGGCGAUCUUGAGUUCGGGAGAGGUGAGUGGAACUGCGAGUGUAGAGGUGAAAUUCGUAGAUAUUCGGAAGAACACCAGUGGCGAAGGCGACUUACUGGACACAUAUUGACGCUGAGGUGCGAAAGCGUGGGGAGCAAACAGG
rnacentral:rRNA from 1 species